AGCGAACGUUUGCGGCGGGCCUAACACAUGCAAGUCGAACGCACUAGCAAUAGUGAGUGGCGCACGGGUGCGUAACACGUGGGUAAUCAACCCUUCAGCUUGGGAUAACGACUUGAAAGGGUCGCUAAUACCGGAUACGGCGCGAGAGGCUUCGGCUUCUCACGAGAAAGCCUCGCAAGGGGCACUGAAGGACGAGCCUGCGGCCCAUCAGCUAGUUGGUGAGGUAAGAGCUCACCAAGGCUAAGACGGGUAGCUGGUCUGAGAGGAUGAUCAGCCACACUGGAACUGAGACACGGCCCAGACUCCUACGGGAGGCAGCAGUGGGGAAUAUUGGACAAUGGGCGCAAGCCUGAUCCAGCAAUGCCGCGUGUGUGAAGAAGGCCUGCGGGUUGUAAAGCACUUUCAGUGGGAAGAACAGAUUCGGGUCAAUACCCGGAGCCCUGACGUUACCCACAGAAGAAGCACCGGCUAACU
rnacentral:rRNA from 1 species